ACUAAGGUAGUUUAAAAAAAACAUAAAUUUGUGGAGUUUAAAAUGUUGAAGUAACCCUAAGUA
rnacentral:tRNA from 1 species